GACGUAGGGCGCGAGCGUUGUCCGGAUUUAUUGGGCGUAAAGAGCUCGUAGGCGGCUUGUCGCGUCGACCGUGAAAACUUGGGGCUCAACCCCAAGCCUGCGGUCGAUACGGGCAGGCUCGAGUUCGGUAGGGGAGACUGGAAUUCCUGGUGUAGCGGUGAAAUGCGCAGAUAUCAGGAGGAACACCGAUGGCGAAGGCAGGUCUCUGGGCCGAUACUGACGCUGAGGAGCGAAAGCGUGGGAGCGAACAGG
rnacentral:rRNA from 1 species